rnacentral:rRNA from 1 species
GAUGAACGCUGGCGGCGUGCCUAAUACAUGCAAGUCGAGCGAACGGACGAGAAGCUUGCUUCUCUGAUGUUAGCGGCGGACGGGUGAGUAACACGUGGAUAACCUACCUAUAAGACUGGGAUAACUUCGGGAAACCGGAGCUAAUACCGGAUAAUAUUUUGAACCGCAUGGUUCAAAAGUGAAAGACGGUCUUGCUGUCACUUAUAGAUGGAUCCGCGCUGCAUUAGCUAGUUGGUAAGGUAACGGCUUACCAAGGCAACGAUGCAUAGCCGACCUGAGAGGGUGAUCGGCCACACUGGAACUGAGACACGGUCCCGGCUCCUACGGGAGGCAGCAGUAGGGAAUCUUCCGCAAUGGGCGAAAGCCUGACGGAUCAACGCCGCGUGAGUGAUGAAGGUCUUCGGAUCGUAAAACUCUGUUAUUAGGGAAGAACAUAUGUGUAAGUAACUGUGCACAUCUUGACGGUACCUAAUCAGAAAGCCACGGCUAACUACGUG